CUUUUGGGCAGUUUUAAAAACCCCUGAGCUCAUAAAAUGUUAAUACUAUAAAAUAAUUCACACACAUACAGGCCAAGCGUGGUGGCUCAUGCCUGUAAUCCCAGCACUUUGGGAGGCCGAGGCCAGAGGAUCACUUGAGGUCAGGAGUUCGGGAACCCACCACGCCAACAUGGUGAAACCCCGUCUCUACUAAAAGUACAAAAAUUAAAGAGGGGUGUGGUGGUACGUGCCUAUAAUCUCAGCUACUCGGGGAACCUGGGAUGUGCAGGUUGCAGCGAGCCAAGAUCGCACCUCUGCACUUCAGCCUGGGCGACAGAGCAA
rnacentral:lncRNA from 10 species